AACGAACGCUGGCGGCAUGCCUAACACAUGCAAGUCGAACGAGACCUUCGGGUCUAGUGGCGCACGGGUGCGUAACGCGUGGGAACCUGCCCUGAGGUUCGGAAGAACUCCCCGAAAGGGGUGCUAAUACCGGAUAAUGUCUUCGGACCAAAGAUUUAUCGCCUUUGGAUGGGCCCGCGUUGGAUUAGCUAGUUGGUAGGGUAAAAGCCUACCAAGGCGACGAUCCAUAGCUGGUCUGAGAGGAUGAUCAGCCACACUGGGACUGAGACACGGCCCAGACUCCUACGGGAGGCAGCAGUGGGGGAUAUUGGACAAUGGGCGAAAGCCUGAUCCAGCAAUGCCGCGUGAGUGAUGAAGGCCUUAGGGUUGUAAAGCUCUUUUACCCGGGAUGAUAAUGACAGUACCGGGAGAAUAAGCUCCGGCUAACUCCGUG
rnacentral:rRNA from 1 species